rnacentral:rRNA from 1 species
UACGGGGGGAGCAAGCGUUGUUCGGAUUUACUGGGCGUAAAGGGCGCGUAGGCGGCCAGUGCAAGUCAGUUGUGAAAUCUCCGAGCUUAACUCGGAAAGGUCAACUGAUACUGCUCGGCUAGAGUGCGGAAGGGGCAACUGGAAUUCUUGGUGUAGCGGUGAAAUGCGUAGAUAUCAAGAGGAACACCUGCGGCGAAGGCGGGUUGCUGGGCCGACACUGACGCUGGAUGCGCGAAAGCUAGGGGAGCGAACGGG